rnacentral:rRNA from 1 species
UGAGGUAACGGCUCACCAAGGCAACGAUGCUUAGCUGGUCUGAGAGGACGAUCAGCCACACUGGGACUGAGACACGGCCCAGACUCCUGCGGGAGGCAGCAGUGGGGAAUCUUGCGCAAUGGGCGAAAGCCUGACGCAGCAACGCCGCGUGAGCGAAGAAGGCCUUCGGGUUGUAAAGCUCUGUCCGGAGGGACGAAGCCACUCGGGUUAAUAGCCCAGAGGGUGACGGUACCUCCAGAGGAAGGUCCGGCUAACUACGUGCCAGCAGCCGCGGUAAUACGUAGGGACCUAGCGUUGUCCGGAAUUAUUGGGCGUAAAGAGCGUGUAGGCGGCUUGCCAAGUCCGAUGUGAAAACUCGGGGCUUAACCCCGAGCGUGCAUUGGAAACUGACAGGCUUGAGUCCGGAAGAGGGGACUGGAAUUCCUGGUGUAGCGGUGAAAUGCGCAGAUAUCAGGAAGAACACCCGUGGCGAAGGCGGGUCCCUGGGACGGUACUGACGCUGAGACGCGAAAGCGUGGGGAGCGAACAGGAUUAGAUACCCUGGUAGUCCACGCCGUAAACGAUGGGCACUAGGUGUGGGAGGUGUCGACUCCUCCCGUGCCGUAGCUAACGCAUUAAGUGCCCCGCCUGGGGAGUACGGCCGCAAGGCUAAA